AUACACCUAUGUGUAGACUAAUAUCUUCUCUCGGAACGAUCAAAAUAAAACAUGUUAGGAUACUGCAAAGCAUGUACCAGAAGGUCCCUGUGUGCGUUAAGACGACGUGGAAUGGUAGCCUACAAGAAAAUCUUUAAACCCUCAAGAGCUGAAAUUCCCCUGAAUCUCGUAUUAGCUCGGCUGCCAACAUAGGAUACCCUAUUGUGUUUAGGGGAAGAUAAAAUGCAAUGGUGCAUGCGGUUCCAUGACGCCUGCCAUCAACGCAUAGCACUAUAUCGCUUCGUCGGUCGCUGUCCGAUUCAGCACCGCUUCCCGCGCCCGAGCCGCGCGCAUGCCGUAAAGGCUACCAUAACAUUCCAGUAUCAGGACGGUCCUACUUUAGCAUCGUGCGCUAUAAGCAUGCUCCGAGAGCCUCGAGAUUCACCGUAUUUCACCUCAUCUAAAACAGCGUUCGCUAAACAAGGUCAGCCUUGGCUCCCUCCCAUCUGGGAGCGCAGAGAAGAUCACCAUGGUGAUCCAGGAGACCCAGCGUCUCUUCUGCUCCUCCUUCCCCUGGGUCACGGUGACAGAGGACAGACAGCAGGCCAUCUGCCUUCUGCUGCCCAUCACUCCUUACCAGAUCUCCACUCUGUCUCCAUGUUUGAAUAGGAUUGAUAAGUAAACUAGUAAUGUGCUUUGAUCUGAAACCCCAGCUUGUAACCCUACUUUGUUACAAUUUAUAAUGAUUUCUUUAAUAAAGCUGUAUAUAUAUAUAUAUAUAAAUAUAUAUAUACAGGUUUGGCACAAAACACCCGUUUAUCUAAAAGGGGGCGGAUUAUAUACGAUGACUUAACAUUGGAGCACCCUAUGGGAGCGCCAUGGAGGCAUUUAAUAAACAAGCAAGGUGGCUGCCGCUGUCCCAGGCAUGGACAUAAAGGUC